rnacentral:misc_RNA from 1 species
AAGUCGUAACAAGGUUUCCGUAGGUGAACCUGCGGAAGGAUCAUUAAAAUCAGUAGUUUACUACUGUUUGAGGGAAGUGGAAACUUUUCAGGUACACCUGGAAAGAAGUACAUUUCUUUUCUUAACCCUUGACUUUUUGCGCACUUAUGUUUCCUCGGCAGGCUUGCCUGUCGUUUGGACAAUUCCAAAACCUUUUUAAUUUUCAAAUCAGCGUCUGAAUUAUUUAAUAAUUACAACUUUCAACAACGGAUCUCUUGGUUCUG